UAUACAGUGUUUUAUAAAAAUGUACUUGCAUAUUAAAAAAAUUUAUUUUAUAAGUGGGUGUUCACAGAUUUUAGUGAUUUGGAUAUACUUGGUGAACUUACUGUAGUCACGGCUGUACAACACUACCAGUCGCAAUCUGUGUUGGCAAAAUAAUAACGAAAAUAAUAGCUUUAUUGAGAUCGACAAGUGAAGUGGCACCAAAACUGCUAAAUGAAGAAAAAUGCAUACAGUCAUAGAUAAAAUGCAGCAGUGAAAAUCAAGGCUAGAAUGCUUUUAUUUAAAGAUGAUAAAUUAAUUAAGAGAGGAUAGACAAGGAGUCGGCAAGUAAUUUACAUUGGAGUCCUAAAGAUUAAAAUAAUAAAUCAAUGAAGUCCAGUGAAAAAAUCUUUUUCAAAUCUUUAUAUUUUAAAAAUAGUAAUAUAAAAGUAAAAAGGUUCCAGAGUAUUGCCUUCCCUGGUCCAGAUCCGGACCGCAGUUCUCCAGUUGCCAACCCCUGGGAUACACACGUAAAUUUUGUUAAUACAAGUUAUCUUUGUUUUUACAAUUUGUACCUAAAUAAAGUUGAAGGCUUCCUGGGACCAUGAAACCUGAAGUAAUUUUCUGUUUUUUUUUUAAAAAAAUAGUUCACAGUGUAUUUAAUGCAUGCUGUAGAGAUGCAGUUUAUAUAUAAUUUUACACAUGCAUUACUUCAUUUAUUGUAUAUUUUAAAUCGAGUUAAAUAAAUUAAAAAAUU
rnacentral:lncRNA from 1 species